rnacentral:rRNA from 1 species
AUUGAACGCUGGCGGCAUGCCUUACACAUGCAAGUCGAACGGUAACAGGUCUUCGGAUGCUGACGAGUGGCGAACGGGUGAGUAAUAUAUCGGAACGUGCCCAGUAGUGGGGGAUAGCCCGGCGAAAGCCGGAUUAAUACCGCAUACGACCUGAGGGUGAAAGGGGGGGAUUCGCAAGAACCUCUCGCUAUUGGAGCGGCCGAUAUCAGAUUAGGUAGUUGGUGGGGUAAAGGCCUACCAAGCCUGCGAUCUGUAGUUGGUCUGAGAGGACGACCAGCCACACUGGGACUGAGACACGGCCCAGACUCCUACGGGAGGCAGCAGUGGGGAAUUUUGGACAAUGGGCGCAAGCCUGAUCCAGCAAUGCCGCGUGCAGGAAGAAGGCCUUCGGGUUGUAAACUGCUUUUGUCAGGGAAGAAAUCCUCUAGGUUAAUACCCUUGGGGGGAUGACGGUACCUGAAGAAUAAGCACCGGCUAACUACGUGCCAGCAGCCGCAGUAAGAC